rnacentral:rRNA from 1 species
UUGCUUCUCUGAUGUUAGCGGCGGACGGGUGAUAACACGUGGAUAACCUACCUAUAAGAUGGGAUAACUUCGGGAAACCGGAGCUAAUACCGGAUAAUAUUUUGAACCGCAUGGUUCAAAAGUGAAAGACGGUCUUGCUGUCACUUAUAGAAUGGAUCCGCGCUGCAUUAGCUAGUUGGUAAGGUAACGGCUUACCAAGGCAACGAUGCAUAGCCGACCUGAGAGGGUGAUCGGCCACACUGGAACUGAAACAC